GGCAAUGUCAUGAAAGCAAUACAUCAUUGCUUACAUACAGUAAGGUCGUGUAACACAUCUCUUUGUCAUGUGUUGAAAAUGUGCUUCGCGUCCAGCAUUACCAUAUAGACCAAUAUUUCACACAGCAAUUUAUGUUCUCUCACAUUGGUCUUAUUAUAUGUGCGCAUGUUGUAUGCAUUAUCAUGAUAAGGCUCGGAACGCUCCAGGCUUCAUUACCACAAAAAGUUCAAGCUGGGGCCUACACACUGUUUGUCGAAAGAAGCCAGAAAGUAGACGUCAGCAUCAAUUGAAGGUUUAACACAGCCUGAGCCCACCUCACACUGCCACAUCUUAUCUUUAAUUGACAAUUACCAUCACCAUCUUGGCUUCUCUCCAUUAGAGACCAAGCUAGUGUGUUCAACCACAUCCACGAUGGCAAAUGCACACAAAAAACAUUAUACGAUGGAAAAAGAAUUCAACCGUUUUUGCCACAUUUUUAGCUUGAAUUCUAUGGACAUUGUGUGCACCUUGGUCACCUAGGGGCAGUAUAAUGCAGACAUUCGGAUCAACAUCGAGCCAGUCAAAACUUCUCAAUAAGACACAAUAAUAGUAGUCAUACUUUGCAGAGGAUCAAGAAUAUAUGCCUAUGAGUAUAUAGAUAAAAUAAUAUUAUCUGUCUAUAUGUGUCGCUUCACUAUUUGCAUUCAAAUAUCCAUUGCUUAAAGGUCAUAACACUGCACCACCCAUGCGAUUAGUUUGCCCAUCUAUGGCAUUUCCAUUAUGUUCGCAUUAAGCUAGUGGCUUUUCAAUCAAAGUUAUGUGGUUGUUUAAAAUACACAACAUGUAAUUUGUUUAACAUUUAGUUAAACAAUAAAGUUAAACUAGGGGAAACGGUGGAUUAGCACUUCUGCCUCACAGUUUUCGAAUCCGGCCUCGCCUAUCUGGAGUUUACAUGUUCUCCCCGUGACUGUGUGGGUUUUGUCCGGCUGCUGCGGUUUCCUCCCACAUCCCAAAACAUGCAUGCUCGGUUCAUUGAAAACUCUAAAUUGCCUGUUGCUGUGAAUGGGAGUGCGAAUGGCUUGUUUAUAUAUGCCCUGCGAUUGGCUGGCGACCAGUUCAGGGUGUGCCCCACCUCUCGCCCGGAGUCAGCUGGGCUAGGCUUCAGCACGCCCGCGAUGCUAGUGAGGAUAAACAGUACCGAAAAUGGAUGGAUGGAUGGCUAAAGUUUAACUGGGCAAUAAACAGCUUGAAGCCUCUUUUGACAAAUUCUUCACUAUCUGUCCAACUACUGCUUGUUGUAUAGUGAGUCGAGUUCACUUUACUACCACCACACAGUGCUCAUAUCUCCAACUUUUGCUCGCAAGUCAAAGCAAAAAACAGCUGAACGUCGGCUUGUAUGUCGAAAAAUUGGUAAGUCGGGGCACUUCUUCGUAUCUCAAGACACCACUUUAUACAGUAUAUAUACUGUAUGUACUGUAUAUGUAUAACAUAGUCAGCUGGGAUAGGCUUCAACUCAAUCGUGCAUGAUAACAAGCACUUUUAUUGAAUCACAUUUGACUUACUGUGCAAGUGCACCUACCAUCAAAAAGCAUAAAAGUAUAAUUGUCUGGAUUUUUUGGGAAUAAAGUGACACAAAGUCAAUGUUUUGGUCCAGUGGGCAGGAUGGCUUCUGGGUGUGUUGCAUUCAAUCACACUCUGCACACUCCCGCCCCCCAAACACACACGCCGCAUGUGAUUAGGAGCACCUGUGUUUCCAAAAUGGCAGCUGCAGUAAGAAAGGACACCAAACCAUUUUGCAUCCCGAUGUUAAUAAAAGCCACAGUAGUGAAUAUAAUGAAAAAAGCAAGACAGUUAAAAGGAUUCCAGUGGAGUUGACAUUUUGGAGCACAAUUAGACAAAAGGCAGGUCAGUGGUCUCCUUCUCUGACCUCUUCAAAGAGGGAGCACAUUCACCUGUCUUGGAAUGGCUGUAGAUAGACGGGGGGACGACGAAUGACAAACUUGUCUUGGAGGCACAGAAAACAGCGAGACACGUCGGCAAGUCGGCCCGAUUGACUGCAGGGCGCUGCACCUAUCUUCAUCUGCCUGUCACCAUGGAUCUCCUCAUUCAUGUCUCCCUCAUUUUGAGCUAUUACUCUCAUCGCCCUCUUCCUUCUUUUCUUCCUACGACAGCCUGCCUCAGUCUGUGGCUAUUAUUGUCUUCUGUAUCGUGCGUACAUAAGUGUUGGGGAUGUGCUUGAAACCUUGGACUUCACUCCUGUUGUAUGUCAUGACAGCGGCCCGUUAAAAUGGUUAAGCCACCUCAGGGGAUGCCCAAAUUUAACCGCCGACAGAAUGAUGCCUAUGUGGGCCGGUGGAGCCAUGAUAGAAUAAUUUAACAUUUUUCUCACCUUGUAACUGUGUUAUCGGUGUAAAGUGGACGCAUACAGGCUGUUCGAUUUGGCAUAAUACCAUCUUCGGCAUCUGAAGUCAAAAUCAUCUAUUGAUCUUUUUAGCUUAGUGCUUGCAUAAUUCAUCUUAUAGCUAGGUGCUCAAGGUCUCUCAUUAUUUGUAGUUUAGUUACAGUAUUCUUGGAAAGCAAGGGAUGCACUCAAAAUAUAAUCAAAUUUACAUAUUGCACUCCACCUCUGAAAUAAGCUAUUUAUGUUGACUAGAAAUCAAGUAGUCUCGCUAGUAUUUCCGUAUUAAACUAUGUCCAGAUCAAUAAGAGUUGAUUGUAUUCCUGCAAGACUCCCUGUAUAAGUUUUACUUAUCCAUCUUCAUGAAUAAGGCACAGCAUGAUUCUCUGUUUUUACUUUGCUAAAACAAUGUUUCCUCUCAUAUAACAAUAAAAUGAAGAUAAAUUAUUAUCAUA